rnacentral:rRNA from 1 species
GAUGAACGCUGGCGGCGUGCCUAAUACAUGCAAGUCGAGCGAACAGACGAGGAGCUUGCUCCUCUGACGUUAGCGGCGGACGGGUGAGUAACACGUGGAUAACCUACCUAUAAGACUGGGAUAACUUCGGGAAACCGGAGCUAAUACCGGAUAAUAUAUUGAACCGCAUGGUUCAAUAGUGAAAGACGGUUUUGCUGUCACGUAUAGAUGGAUCCGCGCCGCAUUAGCUAGUUGGUAAGGUAACGGCUUACCAAGGCAACGAUGCGUAGCCGACCUGAGAGGGUGAUCGGCCACACUGGAACUGAGACACGGUCCAGACUCCUACGGGAGGCCGCAGUAGGGAAUCUUCCGCAAUGGGCGAAAGCCUGACGGAGCAACGCCGCGUGAGUGAUGAAGGUCUUCGGAUCGUAAAACUCUGUUAUUAGGGAAGAACAAAUGUGUAAGUAACUAUGCACGUCUUGACGGUACCUAAUCAGAAAGCCACGGCUAACUACGUG